UUCCUACCUAUGAUGAUAGCUUUGAGA
rnacentral:sRNA from 1 species